rnacentral:lncRNA from 1 species
AUGGGGAAGGUGAUACCCCUGAGAUCCUGCACGGAGCCUUCCGGCUUGCCCCCAUGGCUGCCAGACCACACCAUGAAGAACUCUGUAAAUGGAUUCAUCAAAGCAGGCAAAACGAGCCUCUUGACAGAAGUCAACCCGUUUCUUCUGACUCCCACUUUGUCACCCACAUCCUUCCCGGGAAUCUUCUUGCCCACUCUAAUCUCUCCAGUCCCAGCUCUUACAACGCCGUUCCUCACAUCCCCCGAUGGUCCUCCACCACCUCUUUUGUGCCCAGGAGUGUGCAUUUGCUGA